rnacentral:rRNA from 1 species
AGCAGCCGCCGCGGUAAUACGAAGGGUGCAAGCGUUACUCGGAAUUACUGGGCGUAAAGCGUGCGUAGGUGGUGGUUUAAGUCCGUUGUGAAAGCCCUGGGCUCAACCUGGGAAUUGCAGUGGAUACUGGGUCACUAGAGUGUGGUAGAGGAUAGUGGAAUUUCCGGUGUAGCAGUGAAAUGCGUAGAGAUCGGAAGGAACAUCUGUGGCGAAGGCGACUAUCUGGGCCAACACUGACACUGAGGCACGAAAGCGUGGGGAGCAAACAGGAUUAGAUACCCCGUGUAGUCCCUGUCUCUUAUA